rnacentral:rRNA from 1 species
AACGAACGCUGGCGGCAGGCCUAACACAUGCAAGUCGAGCGAGGACUUCGGUCCUAGCGGCGGACGGGUGAGUAACGCGUGGGAACGUGCCCUUUGCUUCGGAAUAGCCCUGGGAAACUGGGAGUAAUACCGGAUGAGCCCUUUGGGGGAAAGAUUUAUCGGCGAAGGAUCGGCCCGCGUUGGAUUAGGUAGUUGGUGGGGUAAUGGCCUACCAAGCCGACGAUCCAUAGCUGGUUUGAGAGGAUGAUCAGCCACACUGGGACUGAGACACGGCCCAGACUCCUACGGGAGGCAGCAGUGGGGAAUCUUAGACAAUGGGGGAAACCCUGAUCUAGCCAUGCCGCGUGAGCGAUGAAAGCCUUAGGGUUGUAAAGCUCUUUCAGCUGGGAAGAUAAUGACGGUACCAGCAGAAGAAGCCCCGGCUAACUCCGUG